AAAGAGCAUACUAUACUAUUAUACUGACCCAACAGUAUAUGAAAAUUCGUGUAUGAUGUAUAUCUCUCUAAUUGAGGCGUUACUAAUAAAGUAUGAAGGCGCAGAAGUGUAUAGAGCUCUUU
ncrna:unclassified sequences RAGATH-7-assoc RNA